UACGUAGGGUGCAAGCGUUAAUCGGAAUUACUGGGCGUAAAGCGUGCGCAGGCGGUUUUGUAAGUCUGUCGUGAAAUCCCCGGGCUCAACCUGGGAAUGGCGAUGGAGACUGCAAGGCUAGAAUCUGGCAGAGGGGGGUAGAAUUCCACGUGUAGCAGUGAAAUGCGUAGAUAUGUGGAGGAACACCGAUGGCGAAGGCAGCCCCCUGGGCUAAGAUUGACGCUCAUGCACGAAAGCGUGGGGAGCAAACAGG
rnacentral:rRNA from 1 species